UACGUAGGGUGCGAGCGUUGUCCGGAAUUACUGGGCGUAAAGAGCUCGUAGGCGGUCUGUCGCGUCGAUCGUGAAAACUUGGGGCUUAACCCUGAGCUUGCGGUCGAUACGGGCAUGACUGGAGUUCGGCAGGGGAGACUGGAAUUCCUGGUGUAGCGGUGAAAUGCGCAGAUAUCAGGAGGAACACCGGUGGCGAAGGCGGGUCUCUGGGCCGGUACUGACGCUGAGACGCGAAAGCGUGGGGAGCGAACAGG
rnacentral:rRNA from 1 species